AUUGCUUCUCCGUCUUUCGGCUAAGAUCAAAUGUA
rnacentral:snRNA from 1 species